GACGAAGGGGGCUAGCGUUGUUCGGAAUUACUGGGCGUAAAGCGUGCGUAGGCGGUUGGUUAAGUCUGUCGUGAAAGCCCUGGGCUCAACCUGGGAAUGGCGAUGGAUACUGGCCAGCUAGAGUGUGAUAGAGGAUGGCGGAAUUCCCGGUGUAGCGGUGAAAUGCGUAGAGAUCGGGAGGAACAUCCGUGGCGAAGGCGGCCAUCUGGAUCAACACUGACACUGAGGCGCGACAGCGUGGGGAGCAAACAGG
rnacentral:rRNA from 1 species